AAUAGAUACCCGGGUAGUCCUGGCAGUAAACGGUGCGCGUUUGGUGUGGGAGGAAUCGACCCCUUCCGUGCCGGAGCUAACGCGUUAAACGCGCCGCCUGGGGAGUACGGUCGCAAGAUUAAAACUCAAAGAAAUUGACGGGGGCCCGCACAAGCGGUGGAGUAUGUGGCUUAAUUCGAUGCAACGCGAAGAACCUUACCUGGGCUUGACAUGCAUCUCUAAGUCGGUGAAAGCCGGCGAGUGCCGCAAGGUACAAUUUGCACAGGUGCUGCAUGGCUGUCGUCAGCUCGUGUCGUAAGAUGUUGGGUUAAGUCCCGCAACGAGCGCAACCCCUGUGAUCUGUUGCUAACCGGCUUGUCCGGAGCACUCUGGUCAGACUGCCCUGUGAAACGGGGAGGAAGGUGGGGAUGACGUCAAGUCAGCAUGGCCCUUACGCCCAGGGCUGCACACGUACUACAAUGCUCAGUACAGAACGAGCCGAAACCGCGAGGUGGAGGAAAUCCCUAAAACUGAGCCCAAUUCGGAUCGCAGGCUG
rnacentral:rRNA from 1 species